ensembl:lncRNA
GGAAGUGAGCCCAGCCACCUGGAAUGAACGUGUCACUUGAAACAGGAAAGGGCGCUGCAGGCAGAAAUUGCAGGCUCUACUUUCACGAAAGACUCAGGACUCACUGUGCAGAUGAAAAAACAACUUCAUAAAAAUGAAAUUAUUUGCUCAAGCGUGAUGCCUCGAGAGGUGGACGGGCGCUGAGAUACAGAACGACAUUCUGACUCCAAACCCAAUCUAUAUCCUCCCCAAAUAAUCAGAUCUGUCUUCUCAAGGUGUCUGCAAUGAAAGCCUGUCUAAAUAUUUGGAAGAUUCCUUCAAGCAACCUGUGUUUUAAGGUGUUGGGCAGUUGGUUGUCUCUAAACUUGCACAUUGGUAAGAUGGCCACAAGAUGGCAGGGUAGCCUUGACGAUUGGUGAAUUGGUGUCGUCUCUUGCACCAGUAGAGGGCUGUAGCUCCUUGUUUCAAAAAGUGAGAAAUGAAAACAGAAAAAGAAAAAGCAAAACAAUAAAACUUCAGUGGCUACACUGAUGAAAUGGGAUGGUGGUAGGUGUUUUUUUUCUUUUUUCUUUCUUUUCCUAUUUUAAGUUAGCCAGUGAGAGUUCAAACAAACAAGUCUCCACGUUCACCACCGUGUUUGCUUUUGGAGGCACGAGGUCAGGGCUCGGGCCAGCCGCCUAGCCUGCAUUAUUCAUCUCUCCAGCUCCAGCUCUGGAACAAAUGUGAAGAAAUGAAGUAGCUCCAGCGGAGGGGAAACAGUGUUGUUAUUGUUGUUGGUGACACUUCCAUUUGCCAACAAACAUAAAAACAUACUUUGGAACCCAGAAUGGGCUUGUCAGAGGGAACUUUUGUUCCAUGUUUGGGCUGGGAGGCUUCCAGAUAGAAAUCAGGCUGGCAUUUGAACUUGAGGAGGCAGGGAGAGAACUGAGCACAGCAGCCACUGACCCGAAAGGUCUGGCCCUCAGCUGCAGUGUGCAUCUGGGUGUUCUUUGACCGCUGUCCAUGUGGCACCAUGCUGCCAGCUGGGGUCUCUGGCCUGCAUGGGUACUCCGGGGGAGGAGUGUAGGGCGUGCAGUCCAGGACAGGCGCUAUCCACAAAGGGGAUAACAGACUUUGGAUUCUGAGCCUUUGGAAGGUGGUCCUCACUUUGGGGCUUUGGGAUAAGAAAACUAGUCCUAAUUCUGCAGGAUUUAUUUGCUGUCAGGUCCCAAUUAUCCCAAGAUAGCUGGCAGC